rnacentral:rRNA from 1 species
GACAGAGGGGGCAAGCGUUGCUCGGAAUUACUGGGCGUAAAGGGCUCGUAGGCGGCCAACUAAGUCGGACGUGAAAUCCCUCGGCCUCAACCGGGGAACUGCGUCCGAUACUGGAUGGCUUGAAUCCGGGAGAGGGAUGGCGGAAUUCCCGGGUGUAGCGGUGAAAUGCGCAGAUAUCGGGAGGAACACCAGUGGCGGAAGGCGGCACUCUGGGCCGGUAC